rnacentral:misc_RNA from 1 species
GCCGCUGCACAGCCAUUGGAAUCAAUCUUUCCUCUUAGACGGGCUUGUCUAAGGAUGUAAUCAUAACCAACACUUGCUGUCACAUCUCUUGACAUGUAGUUGUACAUGAAGUCUGUCGCUAGUGAAACCUUCUCAGAAACCUUCUGAACAUAGCUCAAAGCAACCAUUCCAGUGCUAGCAACUUGCCCUGUUGCAACCAUCUUAUCUGUCUCAUAUCGACCAGCAUAUCCAAGACCAGACUUUCUAUGUUGACCAGCCCAAAAUACUUCACCACCCAAAGACAAAUGUGGGGUCACACUCUGAAUGUAACUGGCUCCAAAUAAGGCUCCGUUUCCUAGUUGAAGCUGGGUCCUGUAGUCUUUACCCUUAUAAUCAAAGUUGAACAUGGCAUGUGACAUAUGGGGCUCAUU